rnacentral:lncRNA from 10 species
UUCUCGCAUUCUUGCUCUUAAUCCUCCCUUGGCGACCUUCUACUCAGACAUCAUCUUUUAUGCAGAGAAGCAGGCACGUUUCUCAUCAUUAAUUCUGUUCUCAGCCAGGUGUGUAGCCACAGAGCAUACAGACCACAGGAUGAUGGAAAGCAUAUUGACUUUCCUGACUUCUUAUGACCACAUUUGAGGAAAGGAGUAAGCACUGGAAUCACCAACACAGCAUGCUUACGGAGGGUGGUCACCAGCUUCAUCAGCCUCCCAAUUCCACGGAGCCCCUUGAAAAUCCAGGAGCGCAGACUGGCAACAGUAGAGAUUUAAUAGGAGUUUACUGGAGGUUAUACUCCAGUCAAAGAAGAUGGAAACCAAGAAAGGACACAUUUUGGAGAUUAGCACUGGCU